CCCUUAGAUGUUCUGGGCCGCACGCGCGCUACACUGAUGAAUUCAACGAGCACUAACCUGUGCCGAAAGGUUCGGGUAAUCUUGUGAAAUUUCAUCGUGAUGGGGAUUGAUUAUUGCAAUUUUUAAUCAUAAACGAGGAAUGCCUAGUAAGCGUGAGUCAUCAGCUCACGUUGAUUACGUCCCUGCCCUUUGUACACACCGCCCGUCGCUCCUACCGAUUGAAUGUGCCAGUGAAAAGCUCGGAUUGGAGAUAGGAGACGGCAACGUAUCCUAUUUCCGAGAAAAUCUUUAAACUUUCCCAUUUAGAGGAAGGAGAAGUCGUAACA
rnacentral:rRNA from 1 species